rnacentral:lncRNA from 1 species
CCAUGGCAGUUCGGGUUGACUCAGUUAGCCUCUCAAACUUCAACCCUUCCCUUAUCAUUUGGUUGUUAGAUAGAACCAGAAAACCUUGAGGUUAAUAUAUUCAAGAACUUUCAGCAACAACUGACCUUUCAUAUUGUAAUUCAAAUACCUUCCAGAUGCGUCUUGGGAAUUGGUAGGGAGAAAGUUAAUAAUAUUACCCGUUGAUACGAGAAUGACCACGGAGAUGGACAUAUGUGAGAUGUAUUGAACCCGAGACUUGGAGCGUGCAAGUGAAGUGCAAAGGAGGGCCUAAAUAGGCUCCAAAACAGUCCACAAACUGCACUCCAAGGGCACCUAAAGAGAAGCAUUUGACUAAGGGGUCUUUUGGACAUUUCACACUAUUUUUGUAACCUACUAUAAAUAGAAUAUGUUAGGUCAUUUACUAGGGAAACUUGGAUGAUAUUUGUAAGUUGUAUAACACUUGGAAAGACGAGUCCUCUCUUCUCUUUAGGAGGCAACCCGAAACUAGGGUGAUACUAGUUUGGAAUCACUAGGGUUGCAUUCAUGGCUUGAGACGUUGGUGUUUAGAGGAGGUAAAGUCCCUCUUGGGUCAACGUAGGAGUUAGGUUAACCGUUGUGUGUAGUGUUAAGGGUCCAAGAGUAUCACAUGUUCUUGGGUUCUUAAGAUUAUACCAACCAAAGUCUAACUAUCUAUCCUUUGUUCAUUUUAUUCUUGUAAUCGUUUUUACUAGUUUGUUCUUGAUUCAAGGGAAGCCGUGAGUUGUUGUUACAAUAUUGUUGUGAUCUUCUUUUUGUUGUAUAACUUAAUUUGGUUGUUGGUUGCCUUAGUGUGUUAAACACCUUGUAAUCUCGUCAUACUUGCUCUUAUUUGUUGAAUCCGAGAGUGGUCUCCAAAAAGGUCCUCGGAUCCUUAAGAUUAGUGGACUGAUUUGGAGUGUGUUUUUGAUACUUCCUUGUUUGUCUUGUAUCAUUUGGUAUCAAAGCUCAAGGCUUAAUUUUGUUCUCACAAAAUCAAUCUUGGGAAGAGAUCACCAAACUUGUGUUGAAAGCCUUGGCCAAGAGUUUGUUGUCUUGUGAAGUUGUCUUGGCCGAGAGUUAUUAGCUAGAUCUGAAAGGAUUUUGUUUGUUUAGUGUGUUUCUUGUGUUAGUUUCUUUCUCACCAACACAAAGGUGUCUAGAUCUAAAGUUGAGCUUAACAUAUUGACCUUGUAUUGUGGACUUGAAGUGGCCGUGUGUUGAACCUUGAAGGUUGGCCGUGUUGUGUGUUGUUGCUAGCCGUUGGAGUGGACAUUGUUGUUGUGUUGUGGUGGUGUUCUUGAAGUUGUUGUUGUAUGUUCAUCUUGUUCUUCACCUAGUCUUAUAAUAUAACCAACAAAAAGUGCAAAUAGAUUCAAGAAGGGUGAAGAUAAAAGUUGUAAAGUUGUUUGUGAGAAGACUUGAACCAUCACUUCCUAGACUUGACAUCCACUUUUCAACGACUAUCCCUAAAUCAAGGAGCCUUGUUUGGUGGAACUAGUACAAGUCAAGAUCAUCUUUUUGAGAAUAAACUUACAAAAGACUCAAGACUUAUACUUUCCCUCCAAAACCAAUUGUCUUUCAUUCUAAAUUGUGAAAUUGUGUGAAGGUUGAAAAUUUCAAAUUUGUGACUAAGUUGUGUGGGCCUGAGACAAAUUGCGUGCUGAAAAAAUUAGUUGAUCCUAGAACUAAUUAACAAACUAGUAAACUCCUACUAGAUUGUCAAUUAGUCCUUUGCAUCCAUUGUUCGUGUCUACAUUAUUUUGUGCUUUUCUUGUAGUUGAAUCGUAGAAUUUCUUGGUUCAAGUUUGGACAUCAUUCCUUGAGUUUUCAAACAAAGUAUCCAUUCCGACCAAGGAGUAGACUCACGCCCCAACUCAUCACGAACUACAAGCCGACUUGCAAUACUUGUGAAUCCAAGUGUGAUACGAUCAAGUGUGUGAGAGUGUGGUGAGGUUGUUCUGAACUAACUUGUGUUUUGCUUUGUAGGUUUGUUCUUUUUUUUUCUUUUUUUUUAGGUACAAUUACAAGGGAACCCGCGACUUCAACCUCUCAACCCAUGGACAACAAUGCCACCAAUGUCAUUUUGGCCUACCUUGACACUAUGUCCCGAGACCUAGCUAUGGCAAAUGAAAGGUUGGAUUGUAUCGUAGGUCAAAGGGAGCAAGUGGGAUGCCCGGACACACGUCAAGAGGAAGGCCGUAGCUCACGAGGUAAAAACGCCAUCCCCUACACUCCUAUGAACUUAGUAUGUUGUGUUGUGGCUAGUAGGAGCCAAGUAGGUGUAGUUGCGGCUUUGCCUAGGGUAGAGGUGCUCGAGUCGUCCUUUUGUGAUACUCUUAGUGAUGUUAGGUCGCGGGAGGAUCAAACUCUUGUUGUAAGUAUGCAAGCAUUAGUUGAUCCUUUAGAUGACGAAAUUGAUUCUUCUCGCAAGAAUAAUUUGUGUCCAUCUAGUGCUAGCCCUUAUAACUUGAGUAAGAUUCCAUUACCAAUUGACGAGAGUAUUCACACACUAGUUGACCCUUGUGCAAGCCAAGGUGAGUCUAUGUUGGUAUGUGAGUUGCCAACAACUAGUGAGGAUAUGAAUGAAGAUCAACUUACUCAUGAAUGUAUUCCACUACUUAAGCAUAUGUGUGGUGUGCUUGAGAAAUCUCAAGUUAGUGAUGGUGUUUAUAGGGUUGAUCUUGAUGGUGCAUGUGACUCUUUGAACAUCUUGUGUGGUAAAAGCCUUGCUAGUAGUUUUGUUCAUAGAGAUCAUGUGUAUGGAAAUGUUGUAAAUGAUGGCAUAUGUCUUUUUGAGGUAGGACUUCUAGGCCGUAUCUCUCUAUUCUUGAAUAUUAGUUUUCUCUUAAAGGUAAAUGUCAUGCGUGAUUGUGGGAGUGACAUUCUAGGGGAAGGAAGGGUUAGCCUCGGCUUAGACCCUUGGCUACUUCUCCCAUUUGACCCCGGCACCCUCUCGGAAUGUGGGAAUUUCUACAAUUCCCACUUGAUGCUUGGUCAAGACGACAAGCAAUGUUUGAUUGUGGGUGCUAACAAAGGAAGGCAAGGUUCUUCCUUACCUCUUUUUGUUGAUGAUGACCUCUUCCUUUGUGCCAUUUGUACUAAGGUUUUCAUGUUCAACACAAAGGACCCGUGGGUAUACUCCAAGUUUGUCCCACCUCGGCAUGGCAUGUGAUGUGUGUAUUUUGCUAAUCCUAGCCCUCAUGUCAUGAGGAUAUUUUGCUUGUUUGUCCUUCUUUGAUUUCGCAAGGAGCGGAUUCGAGGUCGAAUCCUCUUUUUUCAAGAAGGGGAGGAUGAUACGAGAAUGACCACGGAGAUGGACAUAUGUGAGAUGUAUUGAACCCGAGACUUUGAGCGUGCAAGUGAAGUGCAAAGGAGGGCCUAAAUAGGCUCCAAAACAAUCCACAAACUACACUCCAAGGGCACCUAAAGUGAAGCAUUUGACUAAGGGAUCUUUUGGACAUUUCACACUAUUUUUGUAACCUACUAUAAAUAGAAUAUGUUAGGUCAUUUACUAGGGAGACUUGGAUGAUAUUUGUAAGUUGUAUAACACUUUGAAAGACAAGUCCUCUCUUUCUCUUUAGGAGGCAAUCCGAAACUAGGGUGAUACUAGUGUGGAAUCACUAGUGUUGCAUUCAUGGCUUGAGACGUUGGUGUUUAGAGGAGGUAAAGUCCCUCUUGUGUCAACGUAGGAGUUAGGUUAACCGUUGUGUGUAGUGUUAAGGGUCCAAGAGGAUCACAUGUUCUUGGGUUCUUAAGAUUAUACCAAUCAAGGUCUAACUAUCUAUCCUUUGUUCAUUUUAUUCUUGUAAUCGUUUGUACUAGUUUGUUCUUGAUUUAAGGGAAGCCGUGAGUUGUUG